CAGUCGCCGCGGGAAUACAGAGGGUGCGAGCGUUAAUCGGAUUUACUGGGCGUAAAGCGUGCGUAGGCGGCUUCUUAAGUCGGAUGUGAAAUCCCUGAGCUUAACUUAGGAAUUGCAUUCGAUACUGGGAAGCUAGAGUAUGGGAGAGGAUGGUAGAAUUCCAGGUGUAGCGGUGAAAUGCGUAGAGAUCUGGAGGAAUACCGAUGGCGAAGGCAGCCAUCUGGCCUAAUACUGACGCUGAGGUACGAAAGCAUGGGGAGCAAACAGGAUUAGAUACCCCCGUAGUCCCUGUCUCUUAACA
rnacentral:rRNA from 1 species